AAAGCCUGGAGGAAAGGAGUGUUGGGCUACUCAAUUCAUUUCCAGCUAGAAAUCCCUGGGCAAACAACUUAGCCUUUCUGUGCCUGGGUACACAUAGCCAGGUAUAAAGAGGCACGUUCCAGCCAGGCGUUGGUGGCACACGCCUUUAAUCCCAGCACUGGGGAGGCAGAGGCAGGCCUGGUCUCCAGAGUGAGUGGCAGGAUAGGUUCCAAAGCUACACAGAGAAACCCUGUCUCAAAAAACUAAAAAAAGAGGCACGUUCCUAGCAUACAGGCACUGUUGACAAUGACAAGGGAGCCUCCUCAGGGUCUCAAGGAAAUCUGGAGGUCCCCAGCUUUUGGGUUCCAGGCAGCUCUGCCCCAGCUCCAGCCUAUAGCAUAUGUCAGUAGUGGAAUCAACCCUCCUCACAUUUUAAGAUAGCCAUAGCAAGGGAUUAAUUAAUAGAAACCUUUGUAUUUGCAAUCAGAACAGCCACUGAAGGGGGAGCAGGCCACUUUAAGACCAUGACCUCUUACAGCAGGGAUUGAACCUGCUCAAUGACCUCCACAAACUCCAGCACUCACCUUGUGAUGCUCUUUGACUCGCUCUACCAGGUUCCGUCGGAAGACCUGCCUGCGCUGCAAGAGGCACGUGGCUGUGAGCUGGGUGGCACCACCACUAGUCUCUGUAAGAGGAAAACAAGGUGAUUCCAGGCCUGUCCAGUUGCCCACCCGUGACUCAAAUCCAACUACCAGUGCUGAUACCAGCGUGUCAUGCUCUCCCAAAAGAACAAGAUCUACUGUGCCAGUGAGGACCACCAGAAAGAGACACGCACCAGCCUGCUCGACAUACCAGCUCUGCCUCACCUGCCUGCCCAACACCCUCAGCUUGGAGAAAGAGAGACCCAGACAGGCACAGCAUCCACAGCUGCCCAUAGUGCCAAGAACAAGCCAAAGGCAGAAGUGACCAUGUCCUUUUCAGCUGGGGGACAAGUGCAUAGUGCUGGUGAAGAGUAGACUAUAUGUCUAGGCAAUCUGGCUCCCAGCCCCAUGGCCACACUAAUUGUCUCCCGGGAAGUCAUGGCCACCCAUCCACUCAGGAUCUACAGUGCCUCCCAACAGCCUGUCCUUCCCUGGACCUUGUGGCUCACUAGGACUCACCAUGGUUGCUCUGUGGAAACCUUGGCAUCUGAUGUAGAAGACUCAACAGCAUUCUCCUGGAUUCUGGCCUUCAGGGCCCGAGCCUGGGCUCCCAACUUACGUGCCCGCCUCAGGCAGGACUGGAGCUCUGAGAUGGUGUCUUUUGAGGGGACCUACAGACACAGAUGCUAUGCUCCAGCACAAUUCUUUGCGGAACUAUCACCCCCAACCUUUGCCUGCUGCACCCUCCCAGCAAAUCCAGGUUCCCCUCUGUAGGGCAGCUGUUGGCUCCCCUGGGGGAGACAGAGGAGUGCCUAGCCAGCUCCAGACUCUACUCCUCCCUCAGUCUUGGCGCCCAGUUCCCUGCCUCAGCUCCCGAUGGUCAGUGUUCCUCUCCUAGCCAGGGGUCCUCUGGGGUCCCAAGUGCGCCUCACCAGUCCAGGAAGCCGCAGCCUCCGGCGCGCGGGCGGCGCGGCCUGGUCGCUCCUGGGUUCGGUGGAGGGACGGGCGCGCUUGCGGCUGCUGCUCCGGAUGAACUGAGGGGUCACAAGCCCACUGGGGCUCGGGGUGAGACAGGCCGACUUAGCCCGCGGAGCAGCAAGGCCCGGCCGACGGCGCGGAUAGAAAUCGGUAACACGACUUUGCGCCAUGGCGCCAAAAAGCUAGUUCCCGCGGAUUUCGCGCGGUUUUCGCGGAUUCGGCCUUGCCCCGCCCAGGCUGUACCAUCACGCGCAGCUCUUGGAGGGGGAAAGGUGCAUACUCCAGAGCAUGCGCGCUAGCAUGCACCAAAAUGCGCGUGCGUCACGUCGGGCACCUCCCUGCCGCCUUCAGUUUGAGUGAGCGGGAAUGGGAGCGGCCAGGAAUGGGUGGACCGGAAUGGGCUGGACUCAUGACCACUGGCGCGCUGACGUGCGGCACAGCACAUGCGCUGUCAGUCAUUUACAAGCGCUAGCUAGGCUGUGGAGCGUACGGGUCUCAAAUCCACGUCGCGCGCAGCACGAAGUGGGGCGACCGCUAGCCAAUGGCUUCUGGCCCGGCAAAGAGGCAAUCGGAUGAAAGACGCCUUUGCUCCUGUUGUUCACAUUUGCAGAAUAGCCUGGUCUCGCAUGCCAGCAAAGUAGCUGGAUCGAGUCCCAAGCAGCUGCUGAAUAUCUGGUCCCAGACGCGCGAUGAGUCUACACAGCACGGCUCAAGCAACAGAACAGGCUCCAAAGCAUCUCGUUGCUCUUGCCACAUCCGGGCUAUAGAGUGCAGAGGUCGGCUCUGGGAGGGGGCUCCAGAGCAGGAAGCAGCCUAGAGGCUGGGAAAUCAGGAAGGCCACGCAGAAGGACUGAUUUCCUCAUCACCUGAUUUCCUCAGUCACUGCCACCCAACGCUCCCAGCACUCUGGAGGGAAUGGCCAUGCACAUAGUACUGUCAUUUUGGGCAAAGGUGGCUCCCAAGGAGGAGGGAGGGCAUAAGGGGAGGGACAGCGCGGAAGCAGGACCUGGGAGACCUGGAUAGCUGUAAGGACAAGCUGCACCGAAGGAGAGUUCCGAGGAGGUGGGCGCUUGUACAGUUCAGAGCAUCAAUCUAAAAUGCAUCUGCAGCUGUGGGGUGAAGGACCAGGAUUUAGUAGUGAGUUUCCAGACUUGGUGCUCGCACCUCAUGGGUGUGGUAUGCCCUAGAGCCUCACAGCCGGCGUGAGGUCUUCUGGAUGCUUCGGAGCAACCUUAGUAACCAUUCCACAUUAGUAAGGCCACCCCUGGAAAGUAGGCCUUUGUAUGACUCAGCAUUGGAGCCCCUCAGGAAAUCCUGGUUUGCCUCAGUGACAGGACAAAGCCAGCUGCCUCCUGGUCACAGCUGAUAAGAUAAGUGAUGCAUGGCUGAGCCAAUCAGAUGUUUUCCUAGGACUAGAGAAUGCUCUGGGGUAGGAACUACCUCCACCCUGUGUGCUAGUGGCCUCUCAAGGUAAGGGCAAGCAAACAAGUGUAACUCCAGAGGACUCAAGCCAGACCCAGCAACUCAGGUGUUUUGAAAUAGAUCCCCUUUGUUUUUGUUUUGUUUUGUUUUGUUUUUUGCAGUGAUGAGGAAUGGAACCCAAGGCAUUACACACACAAGCCAAUGGCACCCUACCAUCUGAACUGUGUUGCCUAACUGUGAUAGUUAAUCUUCUUCAUCAGCUUGACGGGGAUUUAGAGUCACCAUGCCUCUGGGCAUGGGCAUGUCCAUGAAGGAUUUCCUCUCUCUUCCUUUCUUUCUUAUUUAUUUUGAGUCAGGGUUUCUCUGUAUAUGAGUACUGGCUGUCCUGGAACUUGCUCUGUAGGCCAAACACAGAGAUCUGCCUGCUUCACACUCUGGCCAGGCCCUCCCCCAAACUGGGAAGCAAAACAACUCCUUACAUUUUAUCAGAUUUUUUGUCAAGGCCUCUUCCAAUCCAUGGAACCUUAAUUAAAACAUGGUCACAAAAAAUCAAAGUAGCCUGGCAGUGGUGGCACUGGCCUUUAAUCCCAGGCAGAGGCAGGCAGAUCUCUGUGAGUUCAAGGCCAGCCUGGUCUACAAGGCAAGUUCCAGGACAUCAGGGCUAUUACACAGAGAAACUGUCUAAAAAAAAAAAGCCAAGCCAAACCAAACCAAACCAACAAACAAAAAAGCCACUCCACAGGAAGCUUGAUUAAAGCCAUUUGAGGAGGGAAGAGUUUGUUUUUUAGCCCAUGGUUUGAUGGUACAGUUUAUCAUGGCAGGGGAAGCCUGGCAGCAGGAACAAGAGGUAGCUGGGCACAGUGAACCACAGUCAAGAGAGAUGAAUACUCAGCUUUCUUCUUUUCAUGUAGUCCGUACAGUGGCACCACCUACACUCAGGAUGGGUCUUCCCGCCUCAGUUAAACCCUUUGGGAAACAUCAGCGGAGACACACCCAAAGGCAUGCAUUGAUGGUGAUCCUAAAUCCUGUUAAAUUGCUUUUGUUUUGUAUUUUGUUAUAACAAUGGAAAAAAUAACAGUCAUCACCACUUUCACCAUUAUCAUCAAGACCAUCAUCUUCUCACCACCUGAGGAUCAUUAGAGUUGCCAUAGGUCCUCGGUAUUGAUGAUAGUCACAUUCUGACCUUGCCUCACUUCCCUAGAACCCACUCUGGUUCCCUGAGACUUGCUCCCUGCCAAGCUACAACCUCAAUACAGGCACAGAAUGAAUGGUUGCAGGCUGUGCCCUUCUGUUGCAUCCUGGUGUCACCCGAAAGAAACAAUGACAAGAAAGUGUGACUGCACCGCACUUCACUGGCUUCAAAUUCAUUUAAUGAAAGAGAAUGGCUUCUGUCCAGGUUUGCUGAACAGACAGCUCUGCUUCCUGUUACUGAAAUGGCUUCUCUGUCUCACUCAAAGUGCCUCUCUAGGUCAAACCGACAUGCAGGUGAAAAAGCUGAGACUGCAGGCGUACAGCUGCUGAGCCAGUGAUCUGGACUGUCCCUCCUACUUCCAGCUCUCCACUUGCUGCUCUCCUUCACACUCCCAGACAGGAAACUGUAACUGAUGCUGGAACAACAUAAAAUCCCUCAGGGACCUGCUGAGGAUCUGUGAGUCACCUGCAGCCACGGAGGAGCUUUUUGUGUCUUGGCUUUUAACUCAAAGUUUGUGGCCAAAUAUAGAGAGGCAGCUUUCACCUUCAAUGAAGGCAUUUGGGUCUCAGCCAGUAUUGAUCUGCACUUGGCUCCCUGUCUGCCAGACAACCUUGGAAUCCGUUAUGGAUGGGCUAGAGCAGGAUUCCUGGAGAAGAUGCUAUUGCUUGCCACAGGUUGAAUGAUGCUAGCAGUUUUUUCUCCCUCCAAGAGCCAGUCUCCUUGUCAGUACCAGGGUGUCUUGUCUUAUGGAACCUGCUUCACAGCUACGUGAGGAGCUGAGAGUCUCGUUAUAUCUCAGUAACGACAAAGGCCCUCUUCUCACACUUGAUUUCAGAAAGCAGCAGGUGGGGAGAGGCUAACUCUGCUUUAGCCCUCUUAGCUUCUUUCCUGUUGCUGUGAUCAAAUACCCUGACAAAAGCAACUUCAGAGAGAAUUGAUUCAGCUUGAAACUUCAGAUUCCAGUCUGUCAUGAUGAAGAAGUGACAACAGUGGGGAGUCUAAGAGGGAGCUGGUCACAUUACAUCCAGAGUCAAGCACAGACAGCAAAGAAUUAAUGCAGCAAAGAAUUAAUGAGCUACUGCUCAUUAGUAUGCUGGUGCUUGGCUUGCUUCCUCUACUUCUACAGCCUAGGAUUCCUGCCAAGGGAAUGAUGUUGCCCAUAGUGGGCGGGUCUUCCAAUUAACUAAUGUAAUCAAGAUUGUUCUUCAUACGCAUGCCUAGUGGCCUGCUUCUCCAGUGGUUCUGCAUUCUGUCAAGUUGGCAAGUAACCAUUGCAUUCCUUGUGUGGGCAUCUAACAUUGCUCUGUUCAGUAGAAAUGCAGCGUGAGUUGUGUGGUUCCAAGUUUUCUACUAGUACAUUACAAAAAGUAGUAAGAAUCAGGUGACAAUAUUUUGUUAAA